GAUGAACGCUAGCGGCAGGCCUAACACAUGCAAGGUCGAGGGGCAUCGCGGUGCAGCAAUGCACUGGCGGCGACCGGCGUACGGGUGCGUAACGCGUAUGCAACCUGCCCCGCACCGGGGGAUACGCCCGCCGAAAGGCGGAUUAAUACCCCCGAUGGUCCCGGGGGCCCGCAUGGGCAUCCGGGUAAAGCCUUGGCGGUGCGGGAUGGGCAUGCGUGCCAUUAGCUGGCUGGUGGGGUAACGGCCCACCAGGGCAACGAUGGCUAGGGGGUCUGAGAGGAUGGUCCCCCACACUGGUACUGAGACACGGACCAGACUCCUACGGGAGGCAGCAGUGAGGAAUAUUGGUCAAUGGGCGGAAGCCUGAACCAGCCAUGCCGCGUGCGGGAUGAAGGCCCUACGGGUUGUAAACCGCUUUUCCCCGGGAAGAAUAAGCCCCCCGCGGGGGGUGAUGCCGGUACCGGGGGAAUAAGGAUCGGCUAACUCCGUG
rnacentral:rRNA from 1 species